UCUCCCUGCGCCAGGCCUUCACUACCCUGCUUGGUUCCACCCUGAGCAGGAACCAUCUGUUUGUGGCGGGAAAGGUCCUCCUGGGCGCACUGGUUCAGGCCAACCACAUGGACGAGGCCAAGUUCAUCCGUACCUAUAACGACUUUGUGGACUACCUGAGUGACCCCUCCAAGCGGAAUGACAUUGAGAGGGAGCUGGCUGAGG